AUCAAAAGUCACAGGUGGCGGGCCAGAGA
rnacentral:piRNA from 1 species